ensembl:lncRNA
UUAAAAAAAGUUAAAGUUUUAAAGUUAAAUCAGUUAAACUAAAUUAAAAUUGCCUUGGCAUCUAGCUGACAUACGUUUAAGCUGUUUGAUAUUUUAUUUUGGUGAACAUUUAUUUUAUUUCAAGUAACAAUUUAUUAUCAUUAUUUCAGUUUUAGUUUAAUUUAGUUUUCUUGAAUAUAGUUUAAUAAAUUUUUAACUUUAGUUAAAUAUGCUUUUUUAUACUUUUUUUAUAUUUUUUAUAGUUCAUAUGUCUAUGUAGCUUUUAUUGAUUUUAUUUCAGAUUUAGUUAUUUUAGUACAUCAAGUUUAUUUCCGUUCAUGUGUAUUUAUUAAUUAUUUUAUUUUAUUAGGUUUUAUGGUUUAAUCAGUUAAAUAUUUUUUUUUUUUAUAAAAAUUUUUUUUCAAAGUUAGUUAUUCUAUUACAUCAAGUUAAACUAAACAAAAAUGAGAAAUGUUGACUCCAGGUAAUGUAUAGUUUAUUUCAAGUAAGUAAUUAUUUUUAGCGGUUUUAAUUGUGUGUAAACGAGAAUAGCCCUGUCUGGAGUGUUGGCGUGUCUGCAGAGGCUCUUUCCCAUCACAGGAAGUGGAGACGCUGCACGUCUGAUGUUUAUGUGAUCUGGCUUCCUGUGAGUCACGCAGGAUUCCCUGAAGAUUGAUGUUCACCACUCAAAAGCAACACGGCGCUCACCACGGUAAGAUAACGCACUUCCACUGCUCGUGAUCAGGUGUAAACUGUGUUGAGUGUGUGAAAGCUCAGGAGCUCAGAGAUCCAGAGACGCUGUAGCUUCAGAUCUGAACAAUCUCACCACCUGUUCGAGUCCUCCGAGCUGCUUCAAGAUCUUCAUCUUCUGUCUCAUCAGGAGCCUGAGGAACAGAUGCUCAGCCGGUCGGAGGAUUCGGAGCGUGACGUCGAGUGUUCAGACACAUUCCUGACGCUCUUCUGCUGGAGUGUGAUGCACGACUUCCCUCGGGAUCAGAGUUAGCGGCUGAAACACACGGAUCGGGAGCUGAAGGGUGCUGAGCAGAUGUGGAGGUUCCUUCCUGACACACUCCUCUGAUUGACUCCUUUAGUGAGUGUUUGUCGUAAAGAGUUAAAAAUGGAGCAUUCCUCAAGUUUCAGCAUGUUCCAGUAAACUCUAGUGCUGGACGGAGCUUCGUGUGUUUCCAGUGAACCCAUUCCUUUAUUUUUAACAAUGUGCCUGAGUCAUCUGAUUUAUUCCACUUUUCAUGACACGGAAAUUCCACAAAACAUGUUUGAUUUAGAGAGACUCAAACACCAAAGUUAAUUAUCAUUAAUUAAUUAUUAAAAAUACAUGUGGAAAACAAAAUACAUAGAUGUUUUUAUUCAAAGAUAUUCAAAUACCAUAGGUAAUUAUUAUUAAUUAAUUAUAAAAUUCAAUUCAGUUCAGUUCAAGUUUAUUUGUAUAGUGCUUUUCACGAUGCAAAUCAUUGCAAAGCAGCUUUACAGAAAAAAAAGCAUAAACAAUAUUCAUAAAUGUUUGAUUUAGAGAGACUCAAAUGUAUUAAAUUAUA